ACGGAUUUGAAUAAUUUUAUAUGAAAUAAAAAAAUUUAUUGUAUUAUAUAUUCAUUUUUGUGAACUAAUUUUUUUUUUUAUCACGCGCAUGCUUUUCGUAUAUCUCGUUAUUACGAAGAAGAUUAUAAGAUGGCCUGGGCGAAACGGGAUGAAAAAAACGAGUGGGGGAAAGAAAAGAAGCUGAUAAGACGCGAACAAGUUUGUUAUGCAUGUAUAUAUAAACCGUAGGAAGUGGAAGAUUCCGGAGUAUGUUAUUCUAGAAUUUCGUUUGUUAUUAUUAGUAACAAAGUGGGUCUCUCUUUGGUGUGGAAACCAAUUGACGGGUCGGUGGCGAUGGCGGUGGCUGGCGGCGAUGGUGUUCGUGGUGAAGAUCGAGAAACAUAGAAGGAUGAAACGAUGAUGAGAGAAAAUAGAAGAUGAGAUAGAAAAAAAUGAACUGUCUUUGCUCUCGUCUAUUCGGUUUGUACUACCGUAAUGCUGUCGCAGCAAAGUUCUCCAUCGGUGCAAACUUAGUAUGCUGGGUUUUUUUUUUUUUUGUUGUUGCUCUUUCCUUCGUUUUCAUGAUUAUCACAUUUUCACAAUGUUUGAGAAUCUCGCGACCCCGAAGAGAGAGAGAGAGAGAGAGAGAAAAGGAGGAAGAAAAAUCGGGCGAAGAAGAGGGUCGGGUUAUUAAGCAAUCGGAAGGUUUCUUCCUUUUGAUUUGGUUUUGACAUUGUCAGGACGAGUCCCGGCGGCGUUGUUUGUAAUACAUCGUUUUCUGGUACACCGUGUAAAUGAGAAAUGGAUGUUGAAAAUAAGGGUCGCCACACCGUGUCGUUAUACAGGUGGUAUAAUAUAUAUGCAUAUAUAUAUACAGAGUGAAAACAAUGAUGGGGAAGAUGGAAAGGUGAAAAUAACCUGGUAUUAUAACUAUGGUAUAUUAAUACAUACAUAUAUAUUUAAGGUACAUAUCCAUGACUCCGAGGGAAAUAGCCAAUCAGAAACUGGCAAAUAUUUCUUCUAAGCAAACACCGCCGCGACACGCGGGACUCCAGAAAACGCGGGCGAAAAGGAUCGGCCCGUUUUACAGGGUGACGAUUUUUCUAUCUCUCUUUUUCACUCUUCUCUUCUCUUCACCUGAUCGUGACAAUGACCGGUGAAAAAUGGGGUGUAUUUCGUUCCUCGAUACCUGCAGUUUGCGUACAAUAGGUGGUAAGGUACAAUUAUCCUCGAACGAUUAAAUUUCAGGGAUACGUGCGUACGGAAUUUGACACCCGCCCACGUAGUGGACGGGUAGGUUAUCGCCUAAACAUCGUUACGUAUUUUGUUCAUCGAUACGCCAAGAGAAGCUUUAGAUAACAUUGUACAUCCGGUAAUAAGAUGGUGAAAGAUAAUCUGAGACCUAACGUUACACGAUUUCGUUUCAUUCGUUACAGCAACAAUGAGAGAAAUGAGAGGCUACAGCUGUUCUUCGGAAUACUUGUCAUUUAUUUUUUAACUUCUCUUUUUUUUUUUUUUUUUUUGUUCUUCUCCUGGUUGUGCUCCGGGCUAUGUGUGACUACUGGUGGUAAAGGAGAAGAGAAAUUGUGAAAACGAAGAAGAAGAAGACGAGGCAAAAAAAAAUGUGUAUAUAUGUAAUAAUAUAUAUAUAUAUAUAUAUGUAAGGAAGAACGAGACGACACCACCUGCACCCCCUGGAGUCGAACAAAAGACGAACGAACGAACGAUCGCUAAAUUUCAGUAGAGCGAGUCAGGGGCCACCUUGGAAUCGAGGGAAAUAACACCGUCGAUGUGGAUAUGAAAACGUUGUGUAAGAGAUGGUCGUGAAAAGAGUACGGAGAAUGGAAGAGGUAAUCAAGUUUACCAUGACAACCGCCGGCGUUACCACCACCACCACCACCACCACCACCGCACACUGAGAGAAAGCUUUUUAAACUUUGAUACAGUACGUAUGUGGCGCCAACAAUCAGCUUGUCACGGGAAUGCCAGGGGCGAAUUUUUGCACCACCGAAGGGCUGGAUAAAAAGGAAUGCCACGAAACGUUCGCGUUCAACGAAAAUCGGAAGGAGCGUAACAUUCCCGAAAGAAGUCGGCGGUCGAAAGUUUGGAAUACCCAUAAUUCCGAGGUCGGGGGUGGGAUGGAAAGGAGAAAGACAGGGGAAACGGGGAGUCCAGGAGUUGGGUGAAAAUAAAAGGCAGUGUACGUACGGACUAUAGGGGAUGUAAAGCUACCUCGGGGGCGAACUAAUUUUGACAUGACUUUUAGAGCAAACAUCCGCCUAAGCGGUAACUUCCUCUUUUACACGAAUUUUCUAUACCUGCAGGUAUACCGGUAUGUAUGCACCCCGCACAGUUUCUCAAAGUAUACCAACUCCAACUGAAAAACAAAGGAUAAAACUUUGUAGUACGAUCUCAAGAAUAGUUCGCAUAGUACGAACUGUACCCGGCUGUACACCAACCGACCGACCGACCAUCUUCUUAUCGAGUAAUUGUUCGCACAGAUUCUUCGUCUUUUCAGAGUUUCUCAAAUUUUCUUUAUUCAACUUCUUUCUUCGUGGGGCAUCGAAUGAAAUUCCGUCUGUUGGAUAGCCGCGUGGAAUCAUUUAUACCAACACUCGAGACUAUCGGAGUUUUACCUGUUUUUUUUUUCCCCCCAUCCUCGAAACCGAUGGGGAUGUACAUCUGUUGUUCAAAUAGUUUUAUUUCAAAGGACCCCGUGCAUCUGUGCGCGCGGAAGGGGUAAAAUUAUUUCAUCCAGUUUUUGAAGAGAAUUAUUCUUAAAUUAUCAAAUCUUUCGAAGUUUUUUUUGCGCUAGGUUGGAGAGGAGAAGUGAAUUUGAUGUAAAAAAAAAACAAAAAAACAAACAAAAUGAAAUGAAUAAUCAAAGGGAGCUAGAAUUACAAAAAAAAAAAACCAUCGAUCUAUACCGUUACCUAUUUCGCGUGAAUAUAUCUAGACUAAAAAUGCUUGAGAUUUGAAAGAAGAGUGAAGUGUAUCCUGCUCGCUCAGCACCAUAAACUUGAGCUUAGCUUAUCUCCUUCUGCUCGUUUCCUCUUAUUCGAAUUUUCUUCUCCCUUUCUUCUCCUCGUUUUUUUUUUCCCCGGCUCCUCUCUUAUUUUAUUUCUUUAUUUUUUUUUUAUUUUUUUUCUUUCCCCUCCUCUUUUCGGACAGCUUUUGCGGAAUAUCCCGGCGAACUAGGCGAGCCAACGGCGAAGGCGGUGGUGCACGAAAGGAUAGCCGGUUGCCUCGCGGGGAUUCAACCGCAAAAGUAUAGAAUAGUAGAGAACGGAACGGAACGGAAGAGGAGCUACUGUGUUUUUAUUCGUUCGAGAAGGUUUUAUUAGAGCAGACGCAGAUGUCAUAUCGGACCCCUGGGCUCUUCUCGGUAAUGCGGCUACUUUCAACUCUCCAUAUGUACGUAUUUGUAAGCGUGUGUGUGUGUGUGUGUACCUUAUGUACGAUCUAUACCUCCACUUACUUCCAUUCUCUUCUACUCUCUUUUUCUAUCUUAGAUUUAUACCCUCGCCAUAUUUUACGAUCAAACUUGACCGAAUAUCACCGCGGAUCAUUUCCUUUUCCCAUCACAUAUAUUGUACGUACAUCCAACUUCAUGUUAUUACUACCCAUAUAUAUGUAUACGUGACGCCCGGCUCACACUUCCUCACUUUUUCACUUUUUCACUUUAUUUUUUUUUUAAUCGUAUUAUGCGAAACUCGUAUGAAAAAUUUUUGCGUACGUAAACUAUCGGACGGAACGAGAUAAGAGGCGGUUCUUCAGAAUGGCGUGAAAGUCUUUUUAUUUUUCAGUCUUACCUGCCGGAGAAGUGCACAUAAUUCCGAGGGUGCAACAGCGACUUGGGGUUACUGACUUCUCUUUGUUUCGCAUUGUUUCUUCAGUUUUUCCUUUCUUUGAGAUGACGUGGGUUCCCGGGCUGAAACUUUGUCUAUCUCUAUGAGGAGGACUCUUACAAUUAGACGGUCACGCUCAUUACCCGGUUUUACCGCGGCUACACGUGAAACCUAGUUUUUUCUAUCGUCUUUAUAAUUCUCGGUAAAUCUAACGUCACUAAAAAAAAAUAUUUUGUCAGAAAUACCCGCUUCUCUUUUCUCCGGUGGGUGAAAAUAACGCAGAUUCGAAACUGAACUAUGAAUUGAUUGCGUUUUCGUACGAACGAGAUCACGCCAUUUUUUGGUAAAAUUAAUCAAAAAUAAUUGUUAUUACUAUUCCGUAUAAAAUCUUAGCGAUGUUUUGAGUCAAGCGUAGCGAUAGAGUUGAGCUAACCAUAAACCACAUCCUAAGUGUUUAUUCUUUCUUUCCUGUUUCGCAAUAUCUUUCAAGAAUUUCUCCGGCUUUCCGUAAUUUAGAGUAAUCAAGUGAUGCGUGGUUGACCGCACAGUAUGAUGUGUUUUUCUAAUUAAACGAGCAUUCCGCAUCAUGAAUAUCGUGCAUAUUUGUUCGAUUACGAACUCUGCAUUGUAGAGUCGUCGAAACGGCAUGGGAAUGAGUCGUACUGUCGAUUAAAAAAAUCUAGAAUUUUUCGCUCCGAAAUUUGCAAGAAAUUCGCAACUGUAAGAAUCUGCGAUCUUUGAUUCGGUUUGAUUUUUGGCCCAGAAGAUUUCAUCCCCACGUUUGGAUCUAUAGCGAUAUUAUGGACUAUUGUUCAUGAAAACGUGGUAACUUCUUCCCACUCCUAUCUUCAUAGAAAAAAUAUACAUACAAGAGAUAAAAAAAGAACGAGAGGAAGAAGAGACGAAAAAAAUGGCCUGCCGUUCGCUGCGUACCAGAAGUUGAAAGUUAUAUCAGAAGAUAAAAUGCGACAUGUGUAAACCCCACGUAUAUAGUUAUCUGUAUCCUCGAGUCCCUCGGGAGCGUUUGCAGCACUCUUGGAUAGUUCUCUCCCCGAGGGAUAAUACGUAUGUAUACAUACGUCUUUAUACGCACGUAUAUGUAUGUACGUAGCAUACUGUACGUGAGCUUUUGUCUUGUUUAUAUAGAUGCCGAAGGUUUUUAGGGGUGAGAAGAUUUAAGGAAGUAGAAAAUUUGCUGAGGGUUAUUUCGCCGCGUAUCCGGGAACAGAAUAUAACGGAUGCGCGCAUACAUAUACACACGUACGCGGGUCGUACAUUAGGCACGCAUGUACGUACGUACAUCGAAGUGGUCCCCUUGUGAAAGUCAUUUUUGGAUUCUAAUCGCCGCGAUCCCUGAAACCGUUUCGGAUACGAGAAAUUUCACGUGGAACGCGGACCGAACGGAUGAAAACGCCGAAGACGGGGAAACGUUGAAAAAAAAAUAUAACGGGGGAGAGAAAAAAAAAACACAAGCUCGGUGGAAAAAUAUACACGAGGUAUACAAAUAAUCCAAUGUUAAUCCAGAACAAAGAGAGAUAUUCCCAUGGGGGAAAUAUGUGACGUGUGUACGGGAAUAUCUAUGUACUGGAUUACAAAUGGGGUAUAGACUUUUGCGGUGCGAUUCCUCCAUUUUCGCCCUUCCUUCAGGAUAUCACCGCGAGAUUUCUUCCCACUUACGGAUAUGACACGCGAGAGGACUGCUUGAAAUUCAGAGCUCGUGUAAAAUCGUGAUUGUCUCCAUAAGUCUCCUUGGCUGUAGAUAAAACCUUUUAUUUUUUUUCAGCGGAAAGAAAAAAAAAGCAAACAAAGUAGGGAAGAAGGCAAGAAGGGAGAAAAGGGAACAGGGGAAUAGGACGGAGGGCUGCCACUCUGGAGUGCGUCCGUUUUCCGUAUUUCGUUUUACGCAUUCGUCCCUUCUCUCUUGAGCGAAAUGGAGAGAAAAAGAAGAAAAAAAAUAAACAAACAAGAAAUGGACCUUACGAAAUGCAUCAACCUUACAAACAACGCGUGGAAAAUCUCUUUUCAAACCGGAUCAUCCUCCACUGGACGAGAACUGUUCAUUUUUUUUAAUCAUCCGCUUGGAAUGUUGGACAAAAAAAAAAAAAAUAUCGUCAUUUUUCGUUACGAUGAAACAAAAGCGACAAAAUUCACUUGAUAUUGCAUUCUUGAAAAUACGUGCGUUUGAAGUUUAGGUUCGUAAAAAAAUUGUUGAAAAUAAAUGACCGUGUGUACGGUAUAUAUGUAUAAUACGACUACCGGAUUCACAGUCCAUCAUCGUCGGACACACCCAAAUGCAAUUCGUUUAACCCAUAGUAGAAUGUGACCGCGUGGAUUCAUUCAUAGCAAAUUGCGUAUACGAGGAGGGCAAUACCGGUUCGUUACGGUGAAUUGGUCAAAGUUAAAGCUUCUCAAAUCGAACCUAUCCGUAUACACAUGUACGCGCACGAUCGUUUUCGGACUUCCCUUUAACAUCAAUGUACCAACACCUAUGCACCAUCCGCACGUCCGACCACCUACCCACCUAUAUCGCAAAUAAUCACCGUUGGUCUUUUGGAAAACCGCGCGUUUCGGUGUUUGCUCAAUUUUCAUUUUUAUUUUUUUCUCUACACCUUUUUCGUCCGACUCAUUCUUUCCUCUUGUAUUCGAUCGUUGGCGAUUCUCCUGAUAAACUCACACACCGCGGGGAUCAGAUUUAUCGAAACUUUCCUCUUCGCCGUUUUAUCAAAUCGCACGGAUUCCGACGCUGUACAAGUUCGUCGGAUCGUGUAAGAUUUUUUUUAUCUGAAAUAAAGAAGACGAAGCGUAAGAGAAUGAAAAAAUUCGUACGGAAACGCGUUCAUCGAACCGCAUGGGAUUAGAAGCCCUGCUGCACGUAUCGCGGUGUGAUAGGUGUGUAAUGUAAACGUAUAUUAUAAUGAGCAUGAAAGUUGUCUGUGAGAAAACGUCCGGGCGUCUCGUCUCCUCCCGCAGAACAACCUCAUUUUUCCUCCUCCUCAUCCUCGUCCUCAACCUCUACUCCUUCACCCACAAGGAGUCUGAAGCAUCUGGUGAUUAGACGCGGUCCAGGAUCAGCCGUAUGACGAAGCGGUUUUCGUGCAUUCCUGACCAACCGACCAACGAAAAUAAAAAAACGAAACUAAACGACAGAAGGGAGAACGACGCGACCAGAAAAAUUUUGUGCCACCACCACCCGUUCCGGCGAUGCGAAAAAGUGAAGCGAAAAAAAAAAGUAAAUUUAGAAAAAAACAUAAACCCCGUUAUGACACGGGCGUCGCAUUUGUUGGGAAAAACUUUUUGCUCCAACAUUUUUAUCCGGUUCUUUUUUUUUUUUUUUUUGAGAGAGAAAUUUAGAAACGAACAGAUUUUGGAAAGUCGUUUCGAUCGGGGUGAAAAAUGAAGAGAAAGGAGAGGGAGAUCGGAGUAGAGAAAAAGACGGAGGAGGAGGAGGAGGGGAGAGAAAAAGUAAAACGUUCGGAAGAGUGCUCCUGCAGGAGAGAUGGGAAAGUAGAGGAGAUACAAAUGAGGGCAGAACUGGGGAUGAACGUUAUCGCUUAUCCUGUGGGAGCUAUUCGUCCCAGCCUCCCCGAUAAGCGCGAAGCUUCUGCUUUCGACUCGCAAACCGACUCACCUCGCCUCGCUAUCACCAAGGAAUCCGCGUGUCGCGCAAACCGAACGUUAAAUUUCUAACGGCAACUAAAACCAUCGGGACAACGCCCUAAAAAUACCAGAUUUUUAGUCUCACUGUCGGAUCUGGAAUAUUUCUACAUACGCACGGUACAGUAGCAACUCGUCUAAUGCGGAGAGAAGAGAAAAAGUGAUAUAUAUACUUUCCAAUGAAAUCAGCUGUUCGAAGAAGCUGAUGAAAAAGGGACGUGACGAGAUCAACGGAGGAUUUGGGAGUAUAAUGCACCGUACGAAGAAACAAAUGGAACGGAACGAACAACCGAAAGAUAAACAAAAAGGAUGAGAAAAAAAGAUAAGUAACUGAAUAAAUAGAUGAAUAAAUAAACAAAUUGAGAAAAAAAAAAGAGAGAAGGGCAAGAAGGGCAAGAAGGGAGGACAAUGUGCGGUUGUUUGUUUGUCUAUCUUUUCAUAUGGAUAAACGCUUACGAAAUAAAAAAAGCGGAAGGGUUAUAUAAGAAUAACAGCGAUUCAAUCGUCGACGAUUACGUCACGAUCGGUACAAGUGUUGCAUGUGAUACGCGGAGAUCGAUUGCAGACUGUGGCAAUGAUUUAAUGAUUAAGAUUUUCCGUCUUAUACACGAGCUAUACAUAUAAUUGUUGUACAGGGAAAAUAAUUCAGCUCGACCUGUACGCGAUUAUCAUAUUUUAUACGAACGUAGGGAGCCACGGAUGACGAAAGUAAAAAACUUCGUUCCAGCUCUCCAACUGUACGGAUGAAUCUUCGAGAAAUCGUAACGCGAUCGAGCGUCGUAGAUCGACGGUAUUCUUGAUAAGCGUAACUGAGUACAGGGAGAAAAGAUACGACUGAAAUUUGGUAAAAAACCUCACAGAGAAAAAAAUAAAAGAGAAAAAUUCCGGUUGAAUGGACGAUUAUAUUCAGACGUAACACGAACGCAUUGUUUUGCCUCAUCAUAGUAUCUGGAGAGUGUAUAUAAUUUGAUUCCCAAGCGAACCGUCUCCAAGUAACACGGUUAUCUUUCACAUGGUGUUCGGUAAUUCUUCAAAAUGAUAAUAAUUCAGAUGGAUGAGGAGAAAAAAAAUUGGAGUAAAAAAUUGUAUGCGGGCUACUGUCUGAAAAUUAAGCUACUUGUACAUAUAAUUCUAUGACGUAUUUAUGUAUCACAUUUUUUUAUCCGUCUAUAUAUAUAUAUAUAUACAUAUACAGUUCAUCUCUUCAAUUUGGGGAGAUUAAGGAACUGGAGCGUCUGAAUCAGUCCCACCACAUAAAGAUAUAUCUCCGAAGCGUUUCGCGCCCGUUGGUGAUUUUUUUUUUUUCACAAUUCUUC